GGGGACGUACUGGCUUUUGACAGGACGUUUGAUGGAAACAGGUUGCGAGUCCGAGAGCUGUUCUCGGUAAUCAACGAGCAAAUUAAAAUGAAUGCUACAGAUAACGUUGUAGUUGCUGAUUUUUCAAGAGCUAAUGCUCUAGCUGCUUAAUUAAUGCAGUUCAGCCUCUCAUAGUUGCCCAGCUUGCCGGCGCUAUGGGACCACCCAUGCAAGAUGCAGUAUGUUGAUGAUAGUAGACAUAUCAAGAUAACUAUCGAGGUGCGUAACACUAAAAAAGACUUUGCUAAGAUUGUAGAGGUUUGUUUUUUCCUUGAUUUUAGCGAGAGAAAUAAAAACUACAUUCGUAGAGGCUUGUUUACUUCCGUUUUGGACAGGGGUUCGACUCCCCUCGUCUCCACCA
rnacentral:tmRNA from 1 species